AUCUUUUCUUCAAAAGAAAAAAAAAUCUGUUCUUAUCAGUUUAAUAUCUGAUAAAUUCCCAACCCAACCUUAUAUUAAAUAGAUUUUUGCAACUGGGAGAUGGAAUAGGGGCUUGCUGUGUCCGCUCGUCCUGGUAUUGCAGGACGAGCGGACUCCAU
rnacentral:snRNA from 1 species